rnacentral:tRNA from 1 species
GGUGGAAUGGCUGAGUUGUAGGCGGUAGAUUGUAAAUCUAUAUACGAAAUUUGUUUCUUCCACCA